CAAUAGCGUAUAUUAAAGUUGUUGCAGUUAAAAAGCUCGUAGUUGGAUUUCUGGUAGGAGUGACCGUUCCGAACUUGAUUGUUCGUGUAUUGUGUUUUCUCCAGCCAUCCUUGUGGAGAACUUUUCUUGCAUUAAUUUGUAGGGAUUGGGACCCGCAUCGUUUACUGUGAAAAAAUUAGAGUGUUUAAAGCAGGCAAUCGCUUGAAUACAUUAGCAUGGAAUAAUAAGAUAGGACUUUGGUACUAUUUUGUUGGUAUGCAUACCAAAUUAAUGAUCAACAGGAACAGUUUGAGGAUAUUCGUAUGAACAUGUCAGAGGUGAAAUUCUUGGAUUUUGAUCAGACGAACUACUGCGAAAGCAUUUAUCAAGGAUGUUUUCAUUAA
rnacentral:rRNA from 1 species